CCGGAAGUAAAUGACUGAGAUGAGGUGCUGCCCUCAUCCUCCUACCGGGUCAGAUGUGUGGAACCCGGAACCUCACGUUUCACAGCUCGCAGUGGCAGGAACAUUUUUGGGCCGUGUGGCAUGGAAAGCCGUGAUGGUAUGACCCAGACAGGCCUCGGGGAGUGUUUUCAAAGCCAUGUCCCCCCUCCAGGCUGCUUCCCCACAGAAGUCAUUCUAUCCCAUUUCCCCAUCUCUUGGAUUUCUCCUCCAUUUUUAAAAAUAAUAUUUCUGUUUUAAACCAGGUGGGGUGAUAUGUCAACACUCAGGAGGCAGAGGCAGAAGAAUCACCGAUUUGAGGCCACCUUGGGCUCCACAGCAAGACUCCCUCAAAACACUACAAGGAAAAGUUUGUAUUAAUAUCACGUGGCAAUAGUAAAGAGAAGAGACCAACCAGCGUUCUUUUUAUUGCCCUUGUAAACGAGGAGGCUACAAAGACAUCGUGAAGUAAGAGCCUGGUGGUUGUUCAUCGUGCUCCUGUCCAGGAGGUGGCAAUAUUUCCUUAAGAAUUUUCCAGAGAAGCCUUGCUUGAGAAAACCCACAAUUUAUCUGCGGACAUUGUUGUGUUUUGUUCUUCUUUCAAAGGCUCAGCACAAGAAAGCUUGGCCCCCACAGCCAUGUUCUCCCUCAGUUUUCAACCAGUUGAUGCACAUUACUGUUUUUUCCUUAUGAGAGAGAAUUGAAAUUGUUGAAGAUUUUCAGUCUGAAAUGAGAGUGAACAAAGAAAUGCACAAAUUUAUUAUAAAGACAAAAUUUUAAUCUGUCCAUAUCCCUAAAUCACUCUACUCCCCAGGGAAAGAGGUCCGGGUGAAGUUGUUGUAUCCUUAGCAGUUAAAUGUGGUACCCACUCAC